AUUGAACGCUGGCGGCAGGCCUAACACAUGCAAGUCGAACGGUAACAGGAAGAAGCUUGCUUCUUUGCUGACGAGUGGCGGACGGGUGAGUAAUGUCUGGGAAACUGCCUGAUGGAGGGGGAUAACUACUGGAAACGGUAGCUAAUACCGCAUAACGUCGCAAGACCAAAAAGGGGGACCUUCGGGCCUCUUGCCAUCGGAUGUGCCCAGAUGGGAUUAGCUAGUAGGUGGGGUAACGGCUCACCUAGGCGACGAUCCCUAGCUGGUCUGAGAGGAUGACCAGCCACACUGGAACUGAGACACGGUCCAGACUACUACGGGAGGCAGCAGUGGGGAAUAUUGCACAAUGGGCGCAAGCCUGAUGCAGCCAUGCCGCGUGUAUGAAGAAGGCCUUCGGGUUGUAAAGUACUUUCAGCGGGGAGGAAGGGAGUAAAGUUAAUACCUUUGCUCAUUGACGUUACCCGCAGAAGAAGCACCGGCUAACUCCGUG
rnacentral:rRNA from 1 species